AUCUUGCUCUGGGAGCUGUUCCUCCUCCCUAACAGGCCUUGCUUCCCCAGCUGACAGUUAGCAGCCGGCAAUGCUUGAUAAACUUAUCAGACCAAAGCUGAGCUCAGUGCAUGCUCAGCUCCUCCCCAGCCUCAGAUUUCCCCAUUCCCCUGGACCCUUUGCUCUCUGCCUGCCAUGCUGUCUGGUACAGUGUACAUGGAUCACCCUUGGGCCUACAGGUCAAAAUCAGCCCAUGACCCAGAUUGAAGAAUGCCUGUACUGAAGCAACACCUUUAAAAUGAAAGUGUCAAGUGAGAUGUUUGUAGCAUCCGUAUCUUGCUCUGCCUCUCUCCCUCAAAUACUGUUCACUGGUGGAAAUGCUGCUCUUGGCUGGUUUAUCCUCUCUGUUUCUGCUUGUCCUGUUUCUCUGCUCAUUUGGCAGCUUAGUGCUUUUCAUGUACAGUUCUUGCUGUAGACAUUUGGAGGGUUUCUUUCUAAGACUUCAGUUGCUUUGCUGAAUUUUCUAUCACUCGUUAGUAUCACAGUAGCACUGAGACAUUCCAGCCAAGAUCAAGGCUCCAUUGUGUGAGGUGCUGUAUGUGAAAGAUAAGGGGGGGCAGGGGGUCCUUUUCCUGACUAUCUUACCAUUGAAAUAAACAAGUGAAGAGGAGAGGGGAGAUUAUCCUCCUCUCACAGAUGGGGUGAAGCUUUCUGUGAGCUUCAUGGCAUGCUGAGCAACUUCAGAAAUCCAGCUCAUGCAGGAAACGUGUGGCAGAUCUCAAGUCUCAGUUCAGCUUUAAGAUCAGUGGGUCUGUCGUGACUGUUGGUUGAAAGAUGGUGGGUCAGGAGCUCUGCAGGGAUCUGCCUCAUUCAGCACAGAAGCAAUUGACUGACUCAACUGUCGUUCAAUAGUUUUGGUGUGGCUGUUCUGGGUUGUCUAUUCUGUGUGUCCCUACUAUUUCAGGGCAAAAGUGGAAAAACAUUUCUGCUUUGUGAGCAGAAUAAGUGAUGAAUUGUGUGUGGUGUACUUUUUUUUAUGCUGUAGCAGCUUUGCAGGUCAAGCUCCCAGGUUGGGCCCUUAAGAGUGGGCAGGAACGUUCACAAGCAUAUGUGUGCAUGCAGCUAUUUCUAGGAGAUUGUCUAAAGCCUUCAGCUUUCCCCUUGUGUGCUGUGCUAGAACUGACUUGCUGGAGCGUCCCUAUCACCCAACACUGCAUGGCCCUGAGGGAACGACCUGCUGUGAGGACAAGGCCCUCUGCUCUUGUCUCUUUCUUUUUUUCACUGAAAAUACUUUCUCAUGAGUCCAAGGUGGGAAACAACUGGACUCAGCAAAUGGUGUUUUUCCCCAGUACAGUGUAUACCCCACUGGUGCCUAAUUCUUUCCUGUCCUUCCUCUCAGUUCCUUUUAGACUUUCCCUAACCAUUGCCAAUGCAGAGUGAAAACUUCAGGGUUUUGCCUUCUCUAGGUUUUUCUCUCUGUGUAAGUUAACACAACCUGAAGAUAAGCUUCAGUGUAAUGCUCUGCUAGCUGGGAACACACCUCUGCUUCCUGCAGGUGUCCUGUGGCUCUGCCCUCAUUAAGAAUAGAACGAUGCAUCCCAUGUCCAACCUUAAAUCCACCCUUGAUCAUAGUAUUUCUGGGCUCCUGCUCUCAGCACUUGAAGGCUGUCUGGAAGACACAGAGGCACCUUCUGACAGAUGCUCGGGGUUAUUGCUUUGCAUGUCCCUCAUUUGCUAAACAAAACAGCCCAAAGACCAGGAUUUUCUUUCCCUGGCAAUAAAGGGAAGAAGGUGUGAAAAGAAGUGGGGAAGUGCAGGAUACAGGGCGGGCUUGGAAAGAGGCAGAAACAAUCAGCUCUUUCUUGAGCCACAAAGAUUAGUUGAGAUUUUGCUUUUUGUUAUCUAUUUCCUUGAUUGACUGACCAGAAUGGGUUUUCUGAUGCAAGAGGAGAUGAUGGGAAAGGAGUUGUUUUCAGGGUGGCCAGAAUUGGGAAGGAUUUGCAUGGUUGGAAAGCCAGACCAGGUGAGUUUAGAGCUGGUGACAGCCAUGGCCUGGUCCUGUCAGGUGCUGAGCAUCCUUGGGUGCCUGUGGUGUGGAUUCAGUAGCUCUAAGGAUCAGGGACGAGCAGGCCUGCCUGUGGCUGAUGCCAUGUUGGAAGUGGAAGGCUCUCCCUCAGCCUGCUGUGGUGAGAUUUGGGUAAUGCCUGAUCUGCUUCCUUCUCUGUUCCUUCCUUCCUGCACUUCCAGAGCUCCAGGCAGUGCAGGUGGGAAGCCCAGGGAACAGUGCAGCGUAUCCCUGUAUGCACCAGAGCAGAGCCAAGCUGGGGCCCUCCAUCCUUGUCUUCAUGACACUGUCUCCCUGAUCAGGGGACUGCAGUGAUCAGGGGGCUGUGGGUCUCUGCCUGGUUUUUUCCUUUGGGCUGCUGGCAUUGCUAAAGGAAAGAUGAGGCACCAGCAGUGUUACCUGUUGGUCUGAAUGUGGCACCUUGUUAUUGCAGGGGAAGAAACUGUAGUGUCUUAGUGGAAAAUUCUGCAAUUUGUUUUCCUUGCCUCAGGUCACCUCCUGACUCUGGCUGUACUGUCUUGCUGGCACCUUUGCCAGCUGGCCUUCAUCCACAGCCUGUGUUUCUGGAGAUAUGCUCCCAGUGCCUCUGGGAGUGGGUCAGCCUGGGCUGCUUUGGCCACUGACAUGUCUUCUUGAAUGUGGCUCUGCAGCUGCCUAAGGCCAUCUCAGGGUAUUUCUCUACUUGAUGCUCAUCCAUCUUAAACCCAGUCCUUGCAUCUCCUGGGGAUGCACUCACCAGGCUCCUCACAAAUAUACGGGUAAGGCUGGCACCACCUCUUCCAGUGUAACUGCUCUUCAGUAAUGUCUAGGCUCAGUAACCAUGUAAUGGUGAAAGCAGCUGCCUGCCCUAGAGUCAUCCUGGGGAAAUAAAACACAGAACUGGGGUGAUCUGUGGUUUGUUAAGAGGGAGAAGGAGCCUAGAGAAGCACAGCCUUAGGACAGAGGACCUGAGCUGCCUGUUGAAGGUUAUCCCUCCUCUGCACCAUGGAAAUCAAAGAUAAGAAUGGAAAUGUGAUGGGUACAAUAGCCCUUGUUCAGCAGGCUCAGGAGAACCAGCCAUCUGAUUUGUUUUUAUGAGUGGUUUUACAGGCAGUCUUGCCAUGGUGCCCAUUGGUGUGAGCCAGCACUUCCCUCCAGAAUGGGCAAAACCAGAGAGCUUCAGAUGAGUCAGACACACCUGCUGUCCCCAGGACACAGACAGGGAAGUCUGUGCUGGUGUGCCCUUGUGUUUUAGGGCUGGAGGGUAUUGGCUCCUGAGCAGUUCAGAUGCUGACAUGUUCUUUAAAUGUUUGUGUUUGCAGAUUUGUGGAGGACAAGGGGAAUAACAAACAUGGUUUGCAUUUCUGGCAGCAGUUUUAAUAAGGUGAAAUGUCUUUACCUUGAGCAGGGCUUCUGCAUAUGUACAUAUGUGAGUGUUCACACGCGUGUGUGCACCUGGUGUCAUGGUCGGGACCUGGGGACCAGUUCCCUGAGCCCAGUCCUGCCACAGGCAAUACAUCAUGGGGGUCUCUGCCCCCAUCAGGUUCUGGCAUCACUCAGGAAAGAACAGUUUUAAUGGGGGCUUCAAUAACACUGUCUGCCUGGCUCAGUCCUGUGGCAUCUGACACACCUGUAGCUGCACAGCCCUCUUGCUCUGCUGACUUGCUGCCUGCUUGAGGCUCUGCAUCAAUAUGUCUCUAGAGAUGAAUGCCCCUGACCCCAGGCCUUCAGCAUAGUUUGUGGCUGUUGUGUAGCCAAUAGGCCCCUGUUCUUCCAAGUUUUUCUUCUUUUAUAUCCAACUUUAAGACCCUUGUUCCUAAUGGGAGCCCAGUUCUGUGUGUGAGUUCCCACUUUGUUUUCCACUUCUGUGUGUUGGAGCUCCAAGGUAGGAACCAACUUUAUGGGGCUAUGUUGUUCACUUCUCCUUUUCCCCUCCAUCCCCACUGCCUGCAUUUAUAGAGCCAAGUAUGAGCCUCUCUUGAAAUUGAUGUUUUUAACAUGAAAUACACUGUGUUAGCUUAGUUACUGAGAGGAAACAGAUUUAUCAGAUAAAUCCCAGCAGGCCCAUACAUGUUGUCACUGUCUGGAAUAGUGCAAUAAAAAUAUACAUUAAAAUAAGUAUAAAUACAUAUUUACAGGGUACAAGUAAAGCCAGGAGUACAGACUCUGUUUUGAGCUUCCAGAAUACAUAUUAAUGACUAACAGCUUAGGCAUAGCAUAAAACAGGGGCAAGUACAUUGUAGGUCUUAGGGGAAUAACUUUGGAUUUACAGCAGUGUAACUGAGGGCAGGACUCAUGUCUCCUGGAAAUGAAUGAAUUUUCCAUUUGGACUGUUUCCUCUUGGCCCAUGAUGGCAGCCUUUCUUCACUGGGGUGAAAUGGGUAGUGCCACAGCCCAUUCUCCAGGAUACUUCCCAUUGGUGCCAUUGUCCAAGGCCUUGUGCUCAGAGGGUGACUGGAGUGGGCUGUGCACUGCUACAAUGCCCUGCUUAACUGAAAGGACUUGUUGUUUUAAUGCUAUAGUAAGACUUUGUCCUUCCUGCUGAGAACUCAAGGGACUUUACAAACCUGAGUGAAUGACUCCACAUCACCAGGAGGGGUGGAGAAAUAAGAGCUCAGUGCAAUGACAUGUCAAAGGUCAUAUAGUGAGAAUGUAUCAAAGCUUGGAGGAGAACUGGCUCUUUGCUUGUUCCAGUGCUUUGCUUCAGCCCCUAGACCUGGAAGGAGGAGGAAAUACCACUGCUCUGUUUGUAUAAUGUUUGUGAAGUACUUGCAUGCUACACCAAUCUGUACAGACCAGGCUGCUUCCUCCUUUGAGAGUGGUUGGAAAGCAGAACUCUGGCCCUUGAUGUUGGUAUCCAAGGGCCAUUCCUGACCAUACAGUGACACAGGAUUGCCCAGGACAGCUCUGGGUUGGUAUGCCCAGCAUGCAGUGAAAUAUUGUGGGACAUACCAGCCUGGAUUCCAAGAGCAGCCAGUCUCUCUCCCGUGGCACUGAGAUGUGGGGCUGUUUAGCGUCUGCCUAGUCCUUGCUUGGUUGCCACUAGCCCAGGGAUGUUUGCAGCAUGGUGUAUGUGAGGAGUGCAUUUACAGACCCCUGUUAUCAGCUAGGGAUAGGAGCUGUUUUUUCAGUAUUUUCCUCCCACUCCAAGCUAAAAAUACAACACAGUUAACUUGUCAUUUGAACACAGUAAAUACUCUGCUGAAAGAAAAAGACUUUAGAUGUCUGUUACCAGAAUUUAUGGCCUGGGCAUGUCUCUGCAGAAGCCCUGUCCAGGUUGAACACAGCCCACUGACUACAAUCUAUUUGCAUGCCCUAGCCUUAUCUUUUUAACCAUCAAAGCAGAGCAUGGUUAUGGCACUAGUUUGGCGCAGAUUGUUGCUGCCACUUGCCCGUGAGUUCCCACCUCGCUGCUGCUCAGCCUGAUGAAGCACAGAUUCUGCACAUGGUGUAAAUCCAGAGUAAUAGUGACCUUGGAGGAAGUCCUCUGAAUUUGCACUUUGUGCAGGUGAUGGCAGAUCUGGGCUGGUACCUGUUGUAAUGGAAAGGUGAGAGCUUCCACAAGCUUCCAUGUCACUGCCUGGGAUGUGCAAGGCCCUGAUGUGCCAGAACACCCAAGCCAAUGACACGACUUUGCCAGUCCUCAGAGGAACAAAGGAUGCUACAUGAGCUUUGAGUUGGGCAGCCCCAUGUUGGAUGGAGAUGCUCGGGAGAGUUUUUUUCCCUGGAGGAUGCACCAGCAGUGGGAGCUCCAGCAAAGACCUGGAGCCAUCCCUCACUUGAGACUGUGUUGGGUGUCUCUGUGCCUCCGUAGAUCCACCUUGCGCUGGAAGCCUUUGGCACAGAGCUCACAGCUGAAGGGCUUGAAGCCAGUGUGCUUGCGGCUGUGGGUGAUGAGGUUGGAGCUCUGGCUGAAGGCUUUGCCACAUACCUGGCAUUUGUGGGGCUUCUCCCCUGCAAGAAAGAAAAAAAAUAGCAAGAAACACUUUUAGAGAUGAGAGAAGGGAGUUAGAAAUGUUCUUUAGCAGAGUUAGACCUGCCUGGCUAUGCUUGGGCAUCAGGAUGCGGCCAGCCAGGCUGUCCUGCUAAUUUGUCUACCCUCUGAUCCAGCACAAGAAGGUGAGAAGAACAAGGGGCAGUCCUCUCCAGCUGUGUCACCCAUUCCCUGUCUGCAUUCAGGGCUGAGGACAACUCUGAGAUGCACCAGAGGCUGCUCAAUAACCACGUCCUUGUCACACAGAGGAGGACGUGCAUCUUGGGGAUGCCUAGAACCUUCUCACCACACAGGGAACACUGACUUUCCAGUGCCUCUGUACACUUACCUUUGGUCCAAUAUUUCUGUGUCUGGGCACUACAUAUGCAUAUCAUCAUGAUGAACUGUAAUUUGCAUGUUCUUAUUGGGAAUGGUUUGUUUCUCACCAGUGUGGAUGUAAGUGUGUUUCUUCAUAUCUGACUUCUGGUGGAAGCGCUUGCCACAGUACUGGCAGGGAUAGGGCCUUGUGUCUGAAUGGAUCAGGAGAUGAGUGGAGAGGGUGGAGGAACGUUUGAAUGUCUUCCCACACAUCUUGCACUCAAAACUUCUUUCCUGAUAGGGAAAGAAAAAUCACGGGAUGUCUGUGAGACGUGUGACUGCUUGAAAAGUGUUAAGAACGGUAGAUUUGAUAGGCAAAUGUUCUCAGCUAGUGGACUGAUAACGAUAGGUGCAGUACAAAGAGAGUUACUUAUGGAAAUGGAUUACAUCUUGUUAUCCAAACUCCUGCUCCCUUUAGGAAGAGGUGAGACACAAAGGAACCAGCAGCAAUGAUCCUCCCCUUCUGUACAAGGAAUUCUCAAGGGUAGUCUGAGAUUUGCAGACCUAUGACCUAUGGUCUUCAGAACUCCUAUCAUUGGGUGCUCCAGGAAAGCCAUCAGUUUGUAACCUGGGAAAUAUCACUUGCUUUAUAAUGGAGGAAGCACCAGCUAAGGUUCAACACUUGUGAGAGUUCUGGAGAGUUUGUUCUCUGGAAGCAUGCUGCCCACCUGGGAGUGAAUAUUGGUGUGCUGCUCCAGGCUUACGGCGUGUCCAAAGGUUUUGCCACAUACUUCACAAGCGAAGGGACGAGUGCCACUGUGAGACCUUCUGACAUGGACCUCCAGUCCAUGUGGAGUGGAAAAUACCUGCAAAACCAGAUGCCAGUGAGGUUUUUUGUUUGACAUGAAGCAGCUGUGUCUCUGUAUCUGUUUUCAAUUCCUUAUUCUCUCUCAUGAGCCAUGUAAACUGCAUCAUUCUUAGCCCCCUUGUCCCUUAGUUGGGAGAACAAGUGGGUACCCAUUUUGAGCCCUGUGCAUUGUACUUUGUUACAUACCUGGUGAAACACUGUGUGCAUGGAAAAAUCCCUCCAGCCCCUCCCCAAGCCAGAGAUUCUCCUCUGUGACACACCUUGUUGCACUUCACACAGUGGUAGGUCUCCAUGUCUGAGGAGUAAUGCAUGCUGUAAUCUAGAGGGGGCUCUGUGCUUGGCAGGAGAUGGCUUCCAUACAGGCUGACUGGGUGCUCCAAGAGGGCUGACUGCAUGCUGGAAGACAUCUGUCGGUAGCUGUACGGCAAGUGGAAGGCGUCCCAAGAAAAGCCGGUUUUGUAGAAGCUCUCUGCCCUGGCUACAGGACACUGCAUCUCUGACCUUACCCUCACUGAGAAGGAUGCACUGGGGACUGUGGCAUGGAGAUCACCCCUCAGAGAAAAGAUCUGUCUUGUGUUUGUACCACACCUGGAAGAGCACAGUCUCAAGCCAUGGAUUCUUCUGUGAAAUUGCUACACAAAUAAUAACUAUAGAAACAACAUCAGUAAUAGGAGAGACACAGCAGAAAAUCCCCACAGUUGUGAUGUGUGAGCAGAGAAAGAGGUUCUGGCACUGGGUAACCCUGAAUAUAGGGUGAAAGCCUGCACCCAGCAGUACCUGCUGGAAGAGUCACUCUCCAUGCCCACCACCUAGAAGACCUUAUGGCAUUAGCUGGACAUUUUAGCAAGGGUCAGCAGAGAAGGGAGAGCUGCAGAGGUCUUAUCUGGGCUCACAUAAGUAUGUCCUGGCCCUGACCCACACAGGCCACGGUGGAGCUCUGCCUGUGUCUGAGGGACGGUUUGUGUACUGCUGUGAGUUCUCACUAUGGCAUAUGCUCCAAUGCAUCCUAAGUGAAUAGAUUAUUGAAUGUAUAACCCGGUAAUAGUAAACAGGUUCAUUACAGCACAUCAUGUCCACUCUAAUGCUGUCGUUUUCCCUUUCAAAUCCAGCAGAAAACCCCUCCUAUAGCAUCCAUGUUCUCUUUGUCAAUUUGAAUGUUACAGUAAUUAAGACACAGUAAAAUAACACAACUAAUUGCUUCCAGCUCUUUUCUGAAGCUCAUCCUAAUUUCCACUCUUUUCUGUGGUGGAUUAAAUAAACAUGUCUCCUGCACAGCAGGAAAAAAAAUACCAUCACUCAGUCCAGACUGUAAUAAAUAUUAAUUGCCAUGCACGAGGCAGGACUAGAUUGAAAACAGGCUGGCUCCAAGCAACUCUACCUCAUCCUGAAGCAGGAUGACCCAUUGCAGGUGCAGCACGAAGGAAUCUCUUGGCCUUGGAGGAAUGAGAACUGUGAAACAUCACAUUAUUUAACAGAAGUAAAAAAAAUCAACCGAUGUUUCUCAGAUAGUGCUCUAAUCUGCUUUGCUUUUCUUACACCUAGCUUCUAGCUUGCAACUUUAAUGUCCUUGGUUCAUACUGGCAUUUGAGGAGGAUUCAGAUGGAUUGAAAAGCUAGAGCAGCAGCUUGUAAAGCACCAUCAGUGUAUCCCCCCUGAACUGCCCUUUAUUGGGGAAUGGAAGAUGAAACCUCAGUCAGAGCCCUCCUGAUGCUGGUCUGGGGACUGAAGUAUAGAACUGCAAAUUUAUGGUGUGCAGCAGAGAACCUGCUCUGAGGUAGCUUCCAUUCCUCUUUCCUUAAACCUUCCUGGCCAUAGGAAAAAAGCCUUAUCUAGAAGGAAGGAUGAAACGGUUUACGUUGUAUUGUUGUUGCAUGCCAGCAAAAUAAAGGAAAAAACCUCUUGUCCGUGUCUCGCCCGAGGUGUUGUGGGGUCUGAAACGGCAAUAACGGAGCUUCGCCUGUGGACCAAGGAGCAGCAAUCAGCGCUGGGGCGCCUGCCCUGGAGCUCCCAGGACUCCAGCAGUACGGUACACACAGCUGUCCCGCUAACGUUACUCCACACACACACAGACAUUUUUAAGACCUUUUUACUCGGCACGUUAACGCACUUCACAGAGGCUCUGCGGCAGGAGCC